AUGGCAACAAUUUAAUUACGCUUUUUUUGCCGACGUUUACUGACACCGGCCAUAUUCAACUGGUGUUGAGCGUUCAUCAGUUAUUCUGCUCUCUUUUUACGAACGCACCUUGGUUGAGUUUUAGAUUUAAAAAUAAUAAUACAACAUUUAAAAAAGGUUGCAAUUGAGUGAAGUUUCCGGGUGAUAGGGAAAUCAAAUCCUUCGUUUGUGGGCUAAUCAUGAAGAACCUCGUCUGCUUAAGUGCUUGACUUGGGCCGGAGCUGAGUACCAGCACCUAAAAUGUUCUACUGCUUAAGCGCCUGUUCGUCUUAUAGAAUAUUAGCGCAUAAGUAUUGUGUAUUGUAUUGUGCUUCUGCACCUCAUUGUAAACCGCAGAAAAUGAGUAGCCUACCGGCACCUAUUUAAGUCCAAGUCAAGCACUGCCUGUCUGACAAAGAAUUCGGAAGGUAAUGUGACUCAAACUUUAGAAAUAACAAAUGUCAAGCUAGCAGCAGUGGUACUGUUCGUUUUGGGACACAACAUUGGGAGUGUGUCUCCCAAUUCUGUGUUCCAAAGCUGUGUUACUGUAUAUGAUACUGAUUUCUUUGGUGGGGGUUUCAUAUCACCUCAUGGCUACAAUGUACUGACCAGCCGGGUCUAAAACAGUGAUGAGUGAUGUUCUCCUGACCAUUGGUCACACUGUAAGUUCGCAUUAAAUCGACAGCUUUCACUAUAGUUUUAACAAUAAUUAUGAGACUACUCAAAAUAAAAAGGCUCCUGUAUGAAAAAUAGUUGUUGGUGUGGUAACACGUGGAGAAGAUGAUGGCACGAGCUGAAACCACGAGCACAGUCUUGAGAAAGAGUGAAUACGUUCACGUUGUAAUUCAUCUGAUGCAAUGAAACAGGACCCUCCGUCAAACAGAGAGACUUGGCAGUAUCGCAAUAUUUUUUUCCAUGGAAAAAUAGAAAACACGAAGAAGACCAAACUCUUUGGUCCCUUAGCAAACCUGCUGUAUGUCAAAUAUUGUGUACUGUAGCUUGGAAAAUAA
ensembl:lncRNA